rnacentral:rRNA from 1 species
UACGUAGGCGGCCAUAUAAGUCAGAAGUGAAAGGCUACGGCUUAACCGUAGUAAGCUUUUGAAACUGUAUGGCUUGAGUGCAGGAGAGGAAAGCGGAAUUCCUGGUGUAGCGGUGAAAUGCGUAGAUAUCAGGAAGAACACCAGUAGCGAAGGCGGCUUUCUGGACUGAAACUGACGCUGAGGUACGAAAGCGUGGGGAGCGAACA